AUGUUGACGAUUCCCUUUUUCCUCAAAAAAAAAGAAAAAGGCAAGGCUAUCUUGGCUAUAUAUAUACGGAUAUUGGAAAGGGGAGGAGCAACCAAACAAAGCAUAGGCAUGGCCAUAGGAGUGUGGUGGACGACGAAGAAGAGCUUAUUACUGAAACUGAGUGUGUAUCUGCUGAUCAUCGCCAUGGCUAACUGCUCUAGAGACAUCCCUGAUUCUGUUUCUGACCACCCUCCCGGGUACAUCAUCUGUGGUGAGAUUACUGCGACGUGGGGAAAGCAUCUGUGCAUCAAGCACGGCACCUGCAACAAGCCGUGCCGGGCAGAGGGGUACGACUCAGGCUACUGCGCCCCAUUCCCCUGGUCGACCUACUGCUGCUGCAAAAAUAAUUGUGGCGAGUCUGUGCAACCUCACAGGAGCAGCUUUAUAUGCGGUGAUAAUAGUCUACAUUAUUAA
rnacentral:rRNA from 1 species